AUUAAAAUUAACCCAAUGAGUAAUUUAACAAAUAAUAUAUAAAAUCAGAAUUGAAUUUUUUGUGGCAGUGUGAGAAAAUGAGGACUGGAGUCAUAAUAACACUUUGCCUUGUGUUGUGUUUAGUUCUAAUUGAGGCAAAGCCCCAUCAUGGCGAUUCGAGUGGUGGGGCUGGGGGCGGUUUUGGGGCUUUUGGUUUCGGAGGGGUGGUAGCUGGUGGGUUUGCUGGUUCAAGUGACAGUGUUGGUACAACUGCUACAACUUCAGCCGGCUUGAUUAGAAAUUUUAUUAAGAAAGGCGCUGAUUGUAACAGAAACAGACAAACCACCACGACCACUACAACAACUACGACUGAAGCUUCAGCUUAAUUAUUCUUGUGUGUGGAUAAAACUAUUCAAUAAAUAAAUAUGUUGUAAUGUUGUAUUUGUUUUUUUUUAUCUCAAUUGCAUUUCCUGUCACUUAUUUUAUUAUAAAAUAUAAAAUCAGGCCUUGGCUCAAUUUGCACGCAAAAAAAUGUUUCGAGUGAUUGUUUCACUCAUUCUUGUCGUAAUGGUGUUUGAGAAUGCGGAAACACAGCCCUAUUUACUUCCGGAAAAAAUGACUGGUUUUUUAAUGAAUAAUAAUAAUCAUGAGGUGGUCAAAACAGGUGGUGAUUGUUUCGGAAUGUACCGGCGUCCAAUGACUACAACUACACCAGCUCCGGAAACGUGACAUCUAAACGAAAUGACAAUUUCCAAUAAAGUGUGUUUAUAAAUAGAUUUAUUGUUUAAUUUUUUUUAUAU